UCCUGCUGCUCUGAGCGGUGCGGCUGUAGCGCUGCCAGCCACCGGUGCUCCAGGCAGCGCGGGGAAGUUUGAGUCAUAAGAUGAGAUCUCCAGUCCCAUCUGUAUCAUCCUGAAUAUGAACACUGGACUAUAAGCUAUGGACUAAUUCUGAAAGAACUCUUUGAAACUACAAAGCUCAUCAACUCGAAUAUAAAACUGAUCUCAGAAUGGUA